rnacentral:rRNA from 1 species
AAGAUUAAACUGAAGAGUUUGAUCAUGGCUCAGAUUGAACGCUGGCGGCAGGCUUAACACAUGCAAGUCGAACGAAGUUAGGAAGCUUGCUUCUGAUACUUAGUGGCGGACGGGUGAGUAAUGCUUAGGAAUCUGCCUAGUAGUGGGGGAUAACUUGGGGAAACCCAAGCUAAUACCGCAUACGACCUACGGGUGAAAGGGGGCUUUUAGCUCUCGCUAUUAGAUGAGCCUAAGUCGGAUUAGCUGGUUGGUGGGGUAAAGGCCUACCAAGGCGACGAUCUGUAGCUGGUCUGAGAGGAUGAUCAGCCACACUGGGACUGAGACACGGCCCAGACUCCUACGGGAGGCAGCAGUGGGGAAUAUUGGACAAUGGGCGAAAGCCUGAUCCAGCCAUGCCGCGUGUGUGAAGAAGGCCUUUUGGUUGUAAAGCACUUUAAGUGGGGAGGAAAAGCUUAUGGUUAAUACCCAUAAGCCCUGACGUUACCCACAGAAUAAGCACCGGCUAACUCUGUGCCAGCAGCCGCGGUAAUACAGAGGGUGCAAGCGUUAAUCGGAAUUACUGGGCGUAAAGCGCGCGUAGGUGGUU